AUUGAACGCUGGCGGCAGGCCUAACACAUGCAAGUCGAACGAGUGGCGGACGGGUGAGUAAUGUCUGGGAAACUGCCUGAUGGAGGGGGAUAACUAAUGGAAACGGUAGCUAAUACCGCAUACCAUAAGAUGUGCCCAGAUGGGAUUAGCUAGUUGGGGGGGUAACGGCUCACCAAGGCGACGCGCCCUAGCUGGGCUGAGAGGAUGACCAGCCACACUGGAACUGAGACAGGGUCCAUACUCCGACGGGAGGCAGCAGUGGGGAAUAUGGCAAAAUGGGCGCAAGCCUGAUGCAGCCAUUCCGCGUGUAUGAAGAAGGCCUUGGGGUUGUAAAGUACUUUCAGCGGGGAGGCGUUACCCGCAGAAGAAGCACCGGCUAACUCCGUGCCAGCAGCCGCGGUAAUUC
rnacentral:rRNA from 1 species